UACGGAGGGGGCUAGCGUUGUUCGGAAUUACUGGGCGUAAAGCGCGCGUAGGCGGACCUGCAAGUCGGGGGUGAAAGCCCGAGGCUCAACCUCGGAACUGCCUUCGAUACUGCGGGUCUCGAGUCCGGGAGAGGUGAGUGGAAUUCCUAGUGUAGAGGUGAAAUUCGUAGAUAUUAGGAAGAACACCAGUGGCGAAGGCGGCGACCUGGGUAGAUACUGACGCUGAGGCGCGAAAGCGUGGGGAGCAAACAGG
rnacentral:rRNA from 1 species